GACGAACGCUGGCGGCGUGCCUAAUACAUGCAAGUAGAACGCUGAAGGAGGAGCUUGCUUCUCUGGAUGAGUUGCGAACGGGUGAGUAACGCGUAGGUAACCUGCCUGGUAGCGGGGGAUAACUAUUGGAAACGAUAGCUAAUACCGCAUAAUAGUAGAUGUCGCAUGACAUUUGCUUAAAAGGUGCAAUUGCAUCACUACCAGAUGGACCUGCGUUGUAUUAGCUAGUUGGUGAGGUAACGGCUCACCAAGGCAACGAUACAUAGCCGACCUGAGAGGGGGAUCGGCCCACCUGGGAAUGGGACACGGCCCAGACUCCUACGGGAGGCAGCAGUAGGGAAUCUUCGGCAAUGGACGGAAGUCUGACCGAGCAACGCCGGGUGAGUGAAGAAGGUUUUCGGAUCGUAAAGCUCUGUUGUAAGAGAAGAACGAGUGUGAGAGUGGAAAGUUCACACUGUGACGGUAGCUUACCAGAAAGGGACGGCUAACUACGUG
rnacentral:rRNA from 1 species